UACCUUGAUUAUAAUAAAGCUUCCUAAUCCAAAAUUCUAAUAGCGGUGUAACUUCAAUUUUGUGUAUAAUAUAAAAAGAAUUAAGUUGGAUUCAUAAAAAGAAAAAAAAUUCCAGUAGAUAGAAAACUUGUAUUCAAGAGAAACAAAACUCUAAUGUUUGAUAAAGAGAACUUCUACCUUUUAAACCCAGCUAAGCCUCUUUCAAAUUGUUCACGGGCAUGUGCGUGUGUCACGGGGGAACAGUUUCACAACCCAGAACUCCUCCCAAAACCGUGUGGCACUUGUUCUCUCCAACAAGUCAGCCUCUCAAAGUAUCCCAAAGAUCACUUGGUAACAAGCCCACACAUAAGUCACAAUGGCCGAAACAAACUCAAGCAACCAAAACACAAACAACCAACAAUCACACGACAACCAUACACAACAUGCACACAUAAAGAAAGGUAGAAGAAAGAGAACAAUUGAUGCAAAGGACUACUUCUUGCAUUGCUUGAAAUUCAGCUGUACAAUUGCCAAAAGUAAAACUCUCACAAAGUGUUUCUCUCGCACACUCUCACCCUCUCUCCCGAAAAUGGGACCAAGUCCCUCUAUAUACAUGAACCGGCUGCCCCCUAAUGAUUUCUAGCAUGUGGCCAAGCUUAAAGCAUUUCAAAAUGUACAAAUAAAAUAUUUAAGGGAAGGGAGUGAUGGACAAGAGGAUGCGGCUACACUUGCCACCUCAUUCUAACCGUAGCAUUUAAAUUGGGCAAGGGAGGGAAAUCUUGGCGCCUGGGCAUUGGUCCCAAGUGGGUUGGUCCACCUCAUGCCCCCCACAUGGGCUGGCACUCCUCACUUCACGUUGCAUGGUUUGGGCUUCUUUCCCAUACACGUAGAUAUGUGAACUCCACUUGCCAUAUCACAUGCGCCCCACCUUACAUGCAAGUGUGUUUGUUCCACCGGCCACCUCACAUGCGCACCACUUUGGUGCUUAGGUCAUCAAUGUGCGCUCUCACAUUCAAGCAAGUGCUUCAUGCCCGUGAAUGUGUUGGUGCCACUUGCCAUUCCAUGUGCUGCCCACCUUGCAUGUCCCACAUGGGCGGCACCACACUUGGCUACCUUACCUUCACGUUGCAUGGUUCAUGCAUGCAAAUUCCACUUGGCCGCUGCACAUGCUCCCAUUUAGUGGUCUUGGCACCACU
rnacentral:misc_RNA from 1 species